rnacentral:rRNA from 1 species
GAUGAACGCUGGCGGCGUGCUUAACGCAUGCAAGUCGAACGGAAAGGCUCCUGCUUGCAGGGGUACUCGAGUGGCGAACGGGUGAGUAACACGUGGGUGAUCUGCCCUGCACUUCGGGAUAAGCCUGGGAAACUGGGUCUAAUACCGGAUAGGACGAUGGUUUGGAUGCCAUUGUGGAAAGUUUUUCGGUGUGGGAUGAGCUCGCGGCCUAUCAGCUUGUUGGUGGGGUAAUGGCCUACCAAGGCGUCGACGGGUAGCCGGCCUGAGAGGGUGUACGGCCACAUUGGGACUGAGAUACGGCCCAGACUCCUACGGGAGGCAGCAGUGGGGAAUAUUGCACAAUGGGCGCAAGCCUGAUGCAGCGACGCCGCGUGGGGGAUGACGGCCUUCGGGUUGUAAACUCCUUUCGCUAGGGACGAAGCGCAAGUGACGGUACCUGGAGAAGAAGCACCGGCUAACUACGUG